rnacentral:rRNA from 1 species
UAGGGAAUCUUCGGCAAUGGGGGGAACCCUGACCGAGCAACGCCGCGUGAGUGAAGAAGGUUUUCGGAUCGUAAAGCUCUGUUGUUAAGGAAGAACGAGUGUGAGAAUGGAAAGUUCAUGCUGUGACGGUACUUAACCAGAAAGGGACGGCUAACUACGUGCCAGCAGCCGCGGUAAUACGUAGGUCCCGAGCGUUGUCCGGAUUUAUUGGGCGUAAAGCGAGCGCAGGCGGUUAGAAAAGUCUGAAGUGAAAGGCAGUGGCUCAACCAUUGUAGGCUUUGCAAACUGUUUAACUUGAGUGCAGAAGGGGAGAGUGGAAUUCCAUGUGUAGCGGUGAAAUGCGUAGAUAUAUGGAGGAACACCGGUGGCGAAAGCGGCUCUCUGGUCUGUAACUGACGCUGAGGCUCGAAAGCGUGGGGAGCGAACAGG